ACGGGAGGCAGCAGUGAGGAAUAUUGGUCAAUGGGCGCAGGCCUGAACCAGCCAAGUCGCGUGAGGGACGACGGUCCUACGGAUUGUAAACCUCUUUUGCCGGGGAGUAAUGUGCGGGACGUGUCCCGUAUUGAGAGUACCCGGAGAAAAAGCAUCGGCUAACUCCGUGCCAGCAGCCGCGGUAAUACGGAGGAUGCGAGCGUUAUCCGGAUUUAUUGGGUUUAAAGGGUGCGCAGGCGGCACGUUAAGUCAGCGGUGAAAUGCAGGGGCUCAACCCCGGCACUGCCGUUGAAACUGGCGAGCUCGAGUACGGACGAAGUCGGCGGAAUGUGAUGUGUAGCGGUGAAAUGCUUAGAUAUGUCACAGAACACCGAUUGCGAAGGCAGCUGACUAAUCCGCAACUGACGCUCAGGCACGAAAGCGUGGGGAUCGAACAGGAUUAGAUACCCUGGUA
rnacentral:rRNA from 1 species